AUAUUGGCGAGAGACCGAUAGCGAACAAGUACCGUGAGGGAAAGAUGAAAAGCACUUUGGAAAGAGAGUGAAACAGUACGUGAAAUUGUUGAAAGGGAAACGCUUGAAGUCAGUCGCGUCCGCCAGGGCUCAGCCGCAAGGUGUACUCUCUGGUGGACGGGCCAGCAUCACUUUCGAUCGUCGGACAAGGGAGUUGGGAAUGUGGCACCUUCGGGUGUGUUAUAGCCCUUCUUCGUAUACGGCGACCGGGAGUGAGGACCGCCUUUUUGUAGGAUGCUGGAGUAAUGGCUUUAAACGACCCGUCUUGAAACACGGACC
rnacentral:rRNA from 1 species